CGUUGAAAUGCUGCUUUCACUUGCAUGAACGAGGUCAAAACCCGAUGGAAACAUUUCAAAAGCACGGGAAGCAGAACUGCCCUCCCCGGCCAUCCUGUUCUGCUGCGAACGCUCAGCCUCUGGGUGCUUUUACCUCCAAAUUUUCAACUCCUUUUUUGCAAACUACAUGAAAUGGAUGGCUGCUGUUACACACCCCUGCAAAGCUCAGCUCCUGGACUGGACUGCCCCAAAGCCUGUGCUCAGUUUUCUCACUUGGUGGUAACUGCAGUAACUCAGACAGAGGGAGAUGGACUGCAGGCACUAGAGAGCUCUGGACAGAUUUCAACAAUCAGUAGAAUUUGUACCAACAUGCAGAAGAGGCAUCAGAUCCAGGAGUUCUUCAAUUCAUGUACCAGAAAGAAUAACAGGGUAAGGUCUAACUGAGGAAAAUACUAAGUGUUUUCCCUAAAUGUGGCAAGUUCUUAUUUUGAUACUUGUUCCUGCCUGAGGUCAAUAUUUAAUUAAAUUAAUAGAGCAAAUGUAUAAAUGUGGCUUCUUGAGCAUCCCAAAUGCUACAUCUAUUUGUAAAGUACUGGCAGAGGAUAUUUAAAGUACUUACAAUUAUUCAGUGAUAGAAGUCCCUGCAGUAGCAAGUUGUUUGCUUCUAUAACUGCCACGUGCAGAAUCAAAGGCUAAGCAGAGUUUUCCCUGCCAUCAAAGAUUUAUGAUU
rnacentral:lncRNA from 1 species